UACAGAGGCCCCAAGCGUUACUGAGAAUCACUGGGUUUAAAGGGUGCGUAGGUGGCGCGUUAAGUCCGUUUGUGAAAGCCCUGGGCUCAACCCAGGAACUGCUUCGGAUACUGGCGCGCUUGAGGCUAGUAGGGGUCACUGGAACUGACGGUGGAGCGGUGAAAUGCGUAGAUAUCGUCAGGAACGCCAAUGGUGAAGACAGGUGACUGGGCUAGUUCUGACACUGAGGCACGAAAGCGUGGGGAGCGAACGGG
rnacentral:rRNA from 1 species